UCCGGUUUGACACCGGCAGUCUCCCUAGAGUGCCCGGCAUAACCCGCUGGUAACUAGGGACGAGGGUUGCGCUCGUUGCGGGACUUAACCCAACAUUUCACGACACGAGCUGACGACAGCCAUGCAGCACCUGUGCACGGACUCCGAAGAGGAACCGAUGUUUCCACGGCGGUCAGGAACAUGUCAAGCCCAGGUAAGGUUCUUCGCGUUGCGUCGAAUUAAACCACAUGCUCCGCUGCUUGUGCGGGCCCCCGUCAAUUCCUUUGAGUUUCAGUCUUGCGACCGUACUCCCCAGGCGGAUGACUUAACGCGUUAGCUCCGGCACAUCGGGACUAAAACCCGACACACCAAGUCAUCAUCGUUUAAGGCUAGGACUAC
rnacentral:misc_RNA from 1 species